GUGGCAGUUUCAGGCCCUCGACUCCACUCUAUCGAAUCGUCGCUAUGUCGCUCUGUUGCUCUGUUGCUGACAAGGGCAGCAGCAGCAGCAGCAAAGGCAUGGCAAUGUCCAUGCCGUCGGUGGAAAUACGCCCGCCCAAAAAAAAAGCCAGCGGGAAAAAGCGAAAUAGAAGUGAGCGAUGGCAGCGUAAUUGACAAAAGGUUUCACUGGCAUUCAAUGCCAGUGCCAGGCUCGUUGUCGUCCUCUGACAAAUACAGCACACGCUCUCCCUACUGUCUGUUCAACACCCUUCAGCCAUGCUGGGGGUGCUCCUCCCAAAGCCCUCCAAGCGGUGUGAGAGAGGGAGCGACACGCACCACACAUACACACAUCCACACAUCCACACACGCAAUCAACGCAAUCGACACGCAAAAAUUGUAGAAGAGCGCUGAAAAGAUCAAAGCCGUUCAAUUGUCAGCGACGACAGUUGGAGAGGACCCCGGAAGGAUGGGCGGAGAGAAAGGUCCGGAAGAGCGAGGCUCCACCGCCAGUUCGUGAUUUGUCAAAGCAGCGAAGAUGCCCUGAAGGAUGCCAUGUCCCCCUGCUCCAGUUGUCAGCCAAAUGUUUAGCUCGAAACUUUCAACCAAAAAUAAAGCAGAUGUCGAAAAAGUUGCUUAGUUGGCAUUUCCACACGAAAACUGUUGAUUAACAUGGAACAAUCAAAGCAACCCAAAACAUAUCGAAAAACGAACAAACGAAAACGAAUGAAAAUUUCUAAGAUCUUCUACCAAAGGAGGUUUUUCCUUUAAGCUCAAAAGAGGAUGAGAUAAGUCAUUUCAUUGUCAAACAUCAACACACGAACACCUUCAAAAUUCCAAAUCUGGAAUAAAUUUCUCUAACGGGUCUCUAAGCCUCACGAAUCGAAGAUGUGUAGCCCCUGCUGUGGACCUUGUGGACCUUGUGGACCCUGUUGCAGUCCUUGCUGCGGCCCCUGCGGCCCAUGCGGCCCCUGCGGUCCUUGCGGUCCGUGCGGCCCGUGUGGCCCUUGUUGCAGUGACUGUUGUGGCCCAUGCUGUGGACCCUGUUGCAGCCCGUGCUGUGGCCCAUGCUGUGGACCCUGUUGCGGCCCCUGCUGCAGUCCGUGUUGCGGCCCCUGUUGCGGCCCCUGCUGUGGACCUUGUGGGCCAUGUUGUGGGCCAUGUUGUGGGCCAUGUUGCGGUCCCUGUUGUGGCCCCUGCUGUGGCCCAUGCUGUGGACCCUGCUGCAGCCCUUGUUGCGGCCCCUGUUGCGGCCCCUGCUGUGGACCUUGUUGUGGGCCAUGUUGUGGCCCCUGUGGUCCAUGUGGUCCAAAGUGCAAGUGAGAAGGUGGCAAAGACACAAAUGUCACCAUAAGUUCGUUAACGCCCGUUAGAGAAUCCACAACAUCAACUCUCCAGAAAAGUCAAUGAAAAUACAUAGAAAUUCAACCAAAAACAGAAGGAAGUUUUCUUGGUGGGAAGGGGAAAACACCAUCUGCACAGGGAGACCCUGUGGGCCUUGUUAAUGAAGACACAGAUUAGACGACAGGAACAGGGACACACA